UACGUAGGGUGCAAGCGUUGUCCGGAAUUAUUGGGCGUAAAGAGCUCGUAGGCGGUUUGCCGCGUCUGCCGUGAAAGUCCGGGGCUCAACUCCGGAUCUGCGGUGGGUACGGGCAGACUAGAGUGAUGUAGGGGAGACUGGAAUUCCUGGUGUAGCGGUGAAAUGCGCAGAUAUCAGGAGGAACACCGAUGGCGAAGGCAGGUCUCUGGGCAUUAACUGACGCUGAGGAGCGAAAGCAUGGGGAGCGAACAGG
rnacentral:rRNA from 1 species